UAGUAAUAAUAAAGCACAGAUUGACUUUGUCGGGUUCACCGUCAUAAUACGCUUUUUUCUCAUGUCAUAAUAUGCUUUUACAAUUCGUGUAGACAAAAUCAAAAUCCAAGAUGGUACUACUCCCGAGAGCUCUAACAGUCGAGCUUUGCCUGAAACCUAAUCAGGCCGGCCCGGUCGAGCUUUGGCUGAAACCUCAGAUACGUAAUCGGGCCGGCCCAGUCGAGCUUCGGCUGAAUCCUCACGUAAGUAACCGGGCCGGCCCAUAACCAGGAAACGAGAACAUGAAAAUAGCACGAAAAACAAAACCACACUUGAUGGGUUCGAUCUCGCGACCUCACGCUAGGUAGCAGGGACACCAACCACAUGAGCUAGCUGUUGAUAAUGCUCAAAUUGCAGCGCCCAAGUUAAAGUAGUUUAGCGACAGGUCUAUUUAUUUUUCUUAAAUAUUUUCAACAAUUCUUGGAAACAAGUGUGGACAAUUUUCCUUAAAAUAUUUGAAUAUGAAUACGUUUUUAAAAUCGUGGAUAAAUAUCGAAAAUUCGAACAAAAUUUUUAAACCUGAACAAAUUUUGCAAUUCCAAACGUUUAUUUAUUUUUGAUAUACGUUGUAUUUUUAGAAGAAUAUACAUUGAACAUUUCUUUACAUAAAUUUUACAAUUUUACAUACAAAUUGAACAUUUUUCUCCCGUUGCAACGCACGGGUCUUUUUGCUAGUAUGUUCAAAAAGGAGAAAAAAAUCCCAACAUCCGGGCAUUAACUUCCCGCAACUCCCGCAUCUAACCUGUUCCUAAUUUCUCGCCCCACAUGCCUCCCGAUUCCAUUCGCCGCCAACAGCACGCACAGGCCCAAGCUCGCCUCGCCCAGAUCCCUUCCACCACCCCCGCCUCCAUCGCCCAUCGUCGUUGUGUAUCGUGGACACCUCAUCGGUCAGUCCUCUUCCUCUACUCCUCCCCACCACAUCGUCUGUUCAUUGAUCUACCGAGCUGCUAAUUCUGCAUGACAAUCAUGGCCGUGAUCUGCCGAGGUGCUAAUUCUCCACGACACCACGACCAUGAUCCGCCAAGGCCGAUGUGAGCGGGCACCAACAAUCGUGAGCAAGAAGUUUGAUGGCCGUUCCUUUUGGCAUGUAGGUGGCCGUGAUGCCCAUCCCAGCAGGGAGGAUGGAUAGGCAUCGGGCAAUCACCAAGUGACAGGAUAAUGCUCCCUUCUCCUGGAGUGCCAUCCCUUCUCGACAGCGACCAGAGCACGCCCGGCCGGUUGCACAUCGGCUUCACGUCCUCGCGCCGCUCCAUGCAUGCCAAUCCUUCUUAGUGCCGCUAACCAUGGCGAUAAAGGAAGCAUGCCUACCAUGCACUUCCAGCAUUGGCAGGACGCACGUCCGACAUCAAAUAGAAGCACGAUUACAAUCGCAACGAAGCACGACCAACUUCUCCAUACCAAGUUCCCUAAUGUUGAGUUCCCUUAUUUUUCAUGCAUAUAAUUAUAUGGUGAUGAAUUUUUGCCUUAACCGAGUUCCCAUAACAUGUUUUUACUCUAGUGUGUCUUUUAUGUAUGUUGUGAGAAAAUGAAGAUAUUACAUCCUAGCAACCAUGCUUCAUAGAUUAUUGCAUAUGAUUCUAUGGUGAUGAAUUUUUGCUUCCACCAUUGUAAGUGUGUGCUACUCUGACUGUACAUUUUUUUUGCUUCAACCAUUAUCCGAUACUAGUGUCUCUUCAACCACUACUACUCUCUGCUUCAACCAUUUGCUUUUGUUCAUGAAUUUCAUUAUACAACCAUAUUGCUUUAUUUAGUGGAUUUUUGUACAAGCUACUAAAUUUUGUGCUUCCUUCUUUCUCACUGAAUGCUUCAGUUGUACAGAUUCCCAAUAAUGAUGCAAUGUGUGUUGAUUACUAGACCAACCGGGCUCUAAGUUGUCGGUUCUACGACGAGCGAUGCAGAGCUCAUGGCAAACACAGACAUUGUCAUGAUCGGAUUGCCGCCCUCCGCUAUGACGACUACAACAAAAUGAAAUUAUUGUUGUAAUAGUAUUUUACUAUUGUUGUAAAUGAAUUUGUAAAUUUGUGUUCACAAAGUAUUAGUCUGUUUCAAUGUAUCAUCAUACAUGUCCUGCUGCCACAUGGUUUGCGAAGCAGAAAAAAUCU